UACGGAGGGUGCAAGCGUUGCUCGGAAUCAUUGGGCGUAAAGCGCGUGUAGGCGGUUACGUAAGUCUGAUGUGAAAUCCCGGGGCUCAACCCCGGAACUGCAUCGGAUACUGCGUAGCUAGAGGAUGAGAGAGGAUGGUGGAAUUCCAGGUGUAGGGGUGAAAUCCGUAGAUAUCUGGAGGAACAUCGGUGGCGAAGGCGGCCAUCUGGCUCAUUUCUGACGCUGAGACGCGAAAGCGUGGGGAGCAAACAGG
rnacentral:rRNA from 1 species